rnacentral:lncRNA from 1 species
UUUCUUUGAAGUAAAAAAGAUGUUUUAUUACUUCUCUAGCACAAAAGUUAAUACAUCCAAAAAUGUAGAGACAACAAGAACUAGACAUUUUUCUAUACAAAAGCCUAAAUUAUGAAGAUGAUCAUAAACUAGGCUUUGUUGCUGACACGUCUUAAAUAUUUUUCCAAGUCCGUAUGACGUCUCCAUAUUUAAUGCCAUUAUCGAUUGUUGGUUGAAGGUCCCAUAUAUGAGAAAUUGUCUCUCUUGAAAAAUUCCCCAAUCACCGUGGGAUCCGCCGUUGAUGAACUUCAAGACUAUCAACAAAUCAAAUGCAACAGUUGGUGAAGGAGUGGCUCCGUAUCUUGUAUGACACCUCAGUCUAAUAUCUCGACCCGUUAAGCUUCUUUACGAUUCUGCAAAAGAAAACAAAGAGAUAAGAUUUGUGAAGCAUUAUAGUCAACGUUACUACAUGUAAUAUAGUAAAGUCAAUUUCAAGAAAAAAAGAACAACAUUCUCAGGACAACUUAGAGAGCAUAGAGAUGGAAAGCGAGCUCAACAAACGACGGGGUCAACUUUGAAAAACUACCCUGGUCCAUCUAGAAGAUGUUAUGCCCCUAAUAUUUUUUAUGUUAUAGAUUUGGAUGUCUAGUUUAUAAAAAUAUAAACCGUUUGCGAUUUGGAGGCCCCUAGCUCAAGAUACGAUUUUGUUUUCACCGGAACUACUCGAAUCUGAAUGUUUACUGCAGCUUGGUCGAAUUUGAUAAUUUUUUAUUUCCAUCCCAGAAGGAUUUAUGCCAUUAAAUUUAUAUGCGAUGAAGAUCUAUGAGGUUAAUUUCUGCCGGCACAAACGGAUUGCAAUUUGGAGAUUCCGAGCUCGAGAUAUGAAUUUUUCGCCUAGAACGCGCAAAACUGAAAAGCAGCAAGGCAGACGUCUAAAUCAAUUUCAAGAAAUUGCUGCGGCCAAUCUGGAAGGAAUACUUCUGUGAUAUUUUGAGAAUUCUCUUAUCCAUGAGUCUUAUAUCUAUUGGUAUAAACGGCUUGUAAUGUUGAUGUUCCUAGCCUAAUACAUGACUUUAUUUUUCUAGAGUGCGCAAAUCUGGAAAUCAAGUGCGGCAGAUGUCUGUAGCAACUUCAAAAUAUUAUGGCGGAUAUUCUAAAAGAAUUAUUUCCGUGCUAUUUACAAAUAUUGUGGGUUUUGGAAUUUUCUUUCCAACAGCAUAGAUGGAUCGUGAUUCCGACACCCGAAGCUUGAGAUAUGAAUUUCUCGAUAAGAAUACACAAAGCAGAAAAGCAGCAAGAUAGACAUCAUGAGUGACUUCAAAACAACAUUGCGGCCAAUAUAAAAAAAGUUUUACCACGAUAUUUUCAGGGGUUGCAGAUCCCGAACUUGUCUUUCCGAUGGAAUAGACGGCUCACUAUUUGGAAGUUCCCAAUUUGAGAUAUGUACUUCUGAUGACAACAUGUAAUGUUGUGAAGUCGAAAUGACAGACGUGUGCAUCACCUUUGAAAUUUCAUUCUGACAUGUCCUGAUAAAAUUUGGCCCUAUGUUUUGGAUAUGAUGAUAUGGUGCAAGUUUUGAUUCUAUAAAAUUAAGUGGAUUGUAGUUUAGACACUCCUAGGUCAAGAUACAAUUUUUUCAAUGAGAGCAUGAAAUGCUAUAAAGUCAAAAUAGCAGAGAUGCGUCAGGUGCUUUCUUACCGAAGUUGGAAAGUCCUACUCCGGUUGUCUUCCUAGCCAGCCUACAACAAUGCGACAUGGUACAUAUUGCACUCGCCAAUGGUGAGAUAGGGUCUCUCUGAGUCUCCAAGAGUAGGGACUUCGUCGCCGAUAUUGAAAGGACACUUCAUGUGUCUCUCUCGCCAACCGCAACAAAGAAACGAGUGGUUCGCUCGCAAUGCAUCUUCCUAUGGACAAGAUCUCUGGAACUCUCUUAAAUUCCUGCAAAACAAAAUAUUUAGUCCUCGCUGUCAAUAACAUGACGUUUCAGCAAUACGAUAAUUCAAUUUCACAAUAUCGAUGCAGAUGAC